GACGAACGCUGGCGGCGUGCCUAAUACAUGCAAGUAGAACGCUGAAGGAGGAGCUUGCUCUUCUGGAUGAGUUGCGAACGGGUGAGUAACGCGUAGGUAACCUGCCUGGUAGCGGGGGAUAACUAUUGGAAACGAUAGCUAAUACCGCAUAACAUUGACUAUUGCAUGAUAGUCAAUUAAAAGGUGCAAAUGCACCACUACCAGAUGGACCUGCGUUGUAUUAGCUAGUUGGUGGGGUAACGGCUCACCAAGGCGACGAUACAUAGCCGACCUGAGAGGGUGAUCGGCCACACUGGGACUGAGACACGGCCCAGACUCCUACGGGAGGCAGCAGUAGGGAAUCUUCGGCAAUGGACGGAAGUCUGACCGAGCAACGCCGCGUGAGUGAAGAAGGUUGUCGGAUCGUAAAGCUCUGUUGUAAGAGAAGAACGAGUGUGAGAGUGGAAAGUUCACACUGUGACGGUAUCUUACCAGAAAGGGACGGCUAACUACGUG
rnacentral:rRNA from 1 species